rnacentral:piRNA from 1 species
UNCAAAGCAUGGUGCCAGUGUCUAAGG